GACAAUUCCGGGCCGGCAGCGUGGGGAAUACGGGUGGUGCAAUCGUUAAUCGGAAUUAAUGGGCGUAAAGCGUGCGCAGGCGGCUUAGUAAGUCAGAUGUGAAAUCCCGAGGCGCAACCUAGGAACUGCAUUUGAAACUAAUAAACUAGAGUAUCGUAGAGGGAGGUAGAAUUCCAGGUGUAGCGGUGAAAUGCGUAGAUAUCUGGAGGAAUACCAGUGGCGAAGGCGACCUCCUGGACGAAAACUGACGCUCAAGCACGAAAGCAUGAGGAGCAAACAGGAUUAGAUACCCCGGUAGUC
rnacentral:rRNA from 1 species